UACAGAGGGUGCGAGCGUUGUUCGGAAUUAUUGGGCGUAAAGGGCGCGUAGGCGGCGCCACAAGUCACCUGUGAAAACUCUGGGCUCAACCCAGAGCCUGCAGGCGAAACUGUGGUGCUGGAGUAUGGGAGAGGCGCGUGGAAUUCCCGGUGUAGCGGUGAAAUGCGUAGAUAUUGGGAGGAACACCAGUGGCGAAGGCGGCUCACUGGACCGGUUCUGACGCUGAGGCGCGAAAGCGUGGGGAGCAAACGGG
rnacentral:rRNA from 1 species